rnacentral:rRNA from 1 species
GACGAACGCUGGCGGCGUGCUUAACACAUGCAAGUCGAACGGUAAGGCCCUUCGGGGUACACGAGUGGCGAACGGGUGAGUAACACGUGGGUGAUCUGCCCUGCACUUCGGGAUAAGCCUGGGAAACUGGGUCUAAUACCGGAUAGGACCACUGCAUGCAUGGGUGGGGGUGGAAAGCUUUUGCGGUGUGGGAUGGGCCCGCGGCCUAUCAGCUUGUUGGUGGGGUGAUGGCCGAACAAGGCGACGACGGGUAGCCGGCCUGAGAGGGUGACCGGCCACACUGUGACUGGGAUACGGCCCAGCCUCCUACGGGAGGCAGCAGUGGGGAAUAGUGCACAAUGGGCGCAAGCCUGAUGCAGCGACGCCGCGUGAGGGAUGACGGCCUUCGGGUUGUAAACCUCCUUCAGCACCGACGAAGCGCAAGUGACGGUAGGUGCAGAAGAAGGACCGGCCAACUACGUGCCAGCCGCCGCCGUAACAC